UUGGAGUUGGAGAAAGUUUGCGAGAGGGUGAACCCGGUGGGUUCCGAGACACGCACCCCCGCGGAGAUUAAAAAAAAGUGGUCGGACCUCAAGGUGGAGGUCAAGCGGCGUACAGCUGCCCUCCGGAGUAGUACUGGCCAGACAGGUGGUGGUCCGGUGGAGGAGACCCUCACGCCGUUUGAGCAGUGGGUGGUGGCGAUUAUGGGGGGCGCCUCUGUGGGGGGGAUUGUCGUCGCUACCCACGGCGACUCAGGCAGCCUGCCGGAGGGUAAGUGGCGUGUCACAAAAAUGUCCACAUGCUUUGCCAUAGAUGUAAACGCAACAGAUACACAGAAGCAGGAAUUGAAAUGAACCAAUAUUUUUAUUGUGUCACAGAAAUCAAUGUGUCGGCCGUGUCGCUGGCUUGCGGAACCCCGGCCCGCGGCAGAGCGUCCGCCGGCUCGGAGUCGUCAGCCAGGACCAGCAGCAUUCGGGCCACCCCGGCCCCGGCCCCAGCACCAGCGCGCCGACAAGCGGUGGAGUGUCCACCAGCCGCGGCGCUUCCGCUGGACCACCCGGACCCAGUGGAAGGGUCCUCACGGAGGCGGUCCUGCAAUCGCAGGAAGAAAUCAUCAGGGGGAUCGCCAGGAUCAACGAGCGGCUGGACCGGCUCGUAAAUGUCCUCAAGCGUCUGGUGGAGAAAAUAAAUUAAUUUGGCUCAUUGAACUGUGUAUUCACUUCUUACCCAUUCACAUUGUGGUGAUGAGAUUCUGCCGCGUGCGGACGGUGGCCUGGCAUGGAUCAGCUCGCAUCCCUCCGUCUGCUGCUGGUUCGUAAUGUGGGGCGACGUGCUGCUCGGCCACGGGGAUGUGGUGCAGGUCCACUGCGAUGUGUGAACGCUUGUCACAUAGUGAGUCACCAAACACCGCCACACAGCGUCGCCAAAGUGCCGUCACUGCAAGUAUCGGCUCAACGCCAACUGCUACACCACCUCCUCACUUUGCGUGGAUUUGCGCUGGAACCGACGCUCGUGUCGCAAUGAUAAAUCUGGACGUGUGCGCCGAUCUUGGCGAACGCAAGGUUUUCUGGCGCCGCCAGCGUUGAUACAUGAGGCCCCUGAUCACUGAAACAAAUCAUCUGUUCAGCCGCCACAGCAGCAGCUGCAGCAGGACGGGGAGAGGACACAGAGACAUGUCCAGGUCAAGCUGGACUUCAGUUUUGUUUUCAUUGAGCUGGAGAAAGUUUGCAGCCAUCCAGGAUUUGAUGUCAUGAAGACAGUAAUUAAGGUCACGUUGUUUGUUGUAGUUAUUAGGCUGAAGGGGGAGGUAGAUCUGUGUGUCAUCUGCAUAACAGUGAAAAGAUAUGUUGUGCUUUUUAAUAAUGUGACCAAGGAGAAGCAUAUAGAUGGAGAAGAGAAUUGGACCAAGUAUGGAACCUUGGGGGACCCCAUGGGAAAUGCGGGCUGAGGAAGAAGAGGAGUUUCUAAUGGAGACACUGAAUGAUCUCUUGGAUAAAUAUGAGGAAAACCAGUUUAAGGCACAACCAGAGACUCCUGCCCAUUGGUUUAAUCUGUGAACGAGAAUUGAGUGAUCUACUGUGUCAAAGGCUGCAGUUAGAUCGAGGAGCAGGUGGAUGGUGCGCUUACUUGAGUAAGCAGCUACAAGGAGGUCAUUAGUUAUUCUCAGUAAUGCAAAUUCAGUACUGUGAAGAGCUCUGAAAUCAGACUGGAACUUUUCAAAAAUGCAGUUUUCAGCCGGGUGGGACCACAGUUGGUUAAAAACAACUUUUUCAAGUAUUUUGGAAAGAAAGGGUAGUUUGGAUAUGUCUGGAUAGGUCUGUAAUUGUUGAGAACUGAAGGAUCUAGAUUCUGUUUUUUUUAAAGUGGCUGGAUAACUGCAUGUUUGAAAGAUUAGGGAACAUGACUGGUUUCCAGGGAGCUAUUGAUAAUUGAGCGAACACUAGGGCUAAUGGUGCCAAUGACUUCUUUGAAGAGUAUAAUUGGAAUAGUGUAGAGAUAGCAGGUGGAGGUUUUCAUAGAACAGAUAACAUGAUAAAGUUCUGAUAAAGUGAUGGAGUUACUAGAAUUGAGAACUGCAGUAUUUUCAGAGGAGAUGGAUAGGCUAUUUACAGAUGGAUUAAUAGUAGCUCUGAUGUUAAUCACUUUGUCUCUAAAGAAUUUGGGGAACUCCUCACAUUUAGAGUCAGAUGCUUCAAGGCAGGAGGUGAGAGUGGAGGAAAUGACAGAGUUCAACACACUAAGAAGUACCCUGGGAUUAUGACAGUUUUUUUCAAUGAUAUCAGAAAAAUAUUGAGCUCUGGCAUUUUUGAGCGGCCAGCUGAUAUUUAUCCAAGAGAACCUUCAGGAUUUGGAAUGUGAGCUGCAAUGUGUCCCGCUUCCACCUUCGCUCUGCCCUUCUGCACGUUGUCCUAAUUUCUCUUGUAUUUUUAUUAAGCCAUGGUGAGGCCAGAGGCUUACGUUUUUCAAUUGUUAGAGGUGCAACAGAGUCAAGGGUGGCCGAAACAGUACUGGUGAAAAGAGAGACAAUUUCCUCUGUGCUCACAUGAGAUGGUGCACCCUCGAUACUGUUAAUGUUGUGGACCCCAGGAAGAGUAGCUGCUACUCUGGUGGCAGCUAAUGGGGAUCCGUAUGAAUGAAUAAAGAAUGUUGGCAGCCUCUCUGUAGGCUUCUGCAAACUUAGUGGCAGUGGAUGAAUUGAUGGUGCAGGAGCGGAGAAGAGCAGGGCGAACCGGAGAAAGAUAAGGCAAAUUGAGAUAAAAAAUGAUUGCUUUGUGAUCAGAUACAUGAAAAUCUUCUAUUACUGGGUUUGAGAUAGAGAUACCUGAGGAGAGAACUAAAUCUAAUGUAUGGCCUUUAACAUGGGUUGGGCCAUUCACAGACUGGUGGAGACCAAAAGUUUCGAGUAAGUUUAUAAAAUCACGAGUCAUGGCUUCAGUGGGACAACAUAUAUGGAUGGUGAAAUCUCCAAGAAUAAGAAUAUUGUCAUACUUUGGGGCAAUGUUGGAAAGGAGAUCAGAAAACUCACUGAUAAAAUCAAUGUUUGGUUUGGGUGGUCUGUAUAAUAGCAGGCAGAGGACCGGUGAGCUGCCAUCUAUCACAAAAGCCAACUAGGGCCCCGUUGGGGCACUGGCGGGCCCGAGCCGUGUCGCGCCGCCCCCCCCCAACGCGCUGCCUCCCCGUCCCAUUCGCGUCCUCUGGCCAUCGACCUCUCUGGUAACGCCCAUCACUGCAAAGACCCGUUUCCUUCAUCUGCGUUUGCUGUUCUUCCUGCCAGUGUGUGUUGCUUUCACUUACACUUGCCACAGCCAGCCUCGUGAGUGCCUAGCCUAUUGGAUAUCACUGUCACCUACACAGGACAGUCAUUACCUUUCUAUUAAUACUUUGUUUUUUAAUUUCACAUUAAUUUCCAUAUUGUAUAAACGACUGGAAAAAACUUGAGCCCCUGCCCCUGUAUAAUCAUGUGCACGUCUCUGUUCUAGCUCCAAGGUGAAUCUUCACUGCUCAUGUUCUCCUCAGAAGCAGUCACCUCACUCCCCUCAGGGUACUGUACACAUGCACCAACUGCCUGCUUCAGGUUUGGAUGGAGCUUCAUGGUUGUCCGUGGGGUGCAGCGUCAUGAUUUGUACAACUUUGAAUGGCCAUGGGGUGUAGAUUGGCCUGAGCAAAUUUGGUGUCAGUGGGAAAAAAGGCCAGUCAGGACAAAAAUAAAAAGUUAUGACUUCAAAAAAUGUGGAUAUUUGGGUCAUCUUUGGCGCCCCCUAGAACGUAAACCGUGGGGUGCAGCGUCAUGAUUUGAAUAACUUUUAAUGGCCAUGGGGUGUAGAUUGGCCUAAGCAAAUGUGGUGCCGGUGGAACGAAAGCCUUAGGAGGAGUUAGCCACAUUCCAAUGUGUGCGGAUCAGCAAAAAAUGCGGAAUAAUCCUUUAACCGUACAUUUGACAGAUACGUGCGCAUUGACUUUUUCGUAGAUCUUAUUGAGAUACAUGUGUGUGUCAAUUUUCGUGUCAUUUUGCCAAAGCGUAAAGGCGUGACACUCAACAAUGUGUAUUUUCACCUUAGGGGACAAGAAAAAAUUGACUUUUUUCUCCUGCCAUGGGGGGGCGCUCAUUUGGGGAGUAAAAAUUCCUUCACAAAUGUGUUGAUGGCUGGACAUUGCAUCAUCCUAGAAAACUUGGAGGCCAGUGAGGACAAAAAUAAAAAGUUAUAAGACUUUUAAAUAUGUGGAUUUUAGGGUUAUUUUUGGUGCUCCCUAGAACGUAAACCGUGGGGUGCAGCGUCAUGAUUUGAAUAACUUUUAAUGGCCAUGGGGUGUAGAUUGGCCUGAGCAAAUGUGGUGCCGGUGGAACGAAAGCCUUCGGAGGAGUUAGCGAAAUUCCAAUGUGUGCAGAUCUGCAAAAAAUGCAAAAUAACCCAUUAACCGUACAUUUGACAGAUACGCCCGCACUGACUUUUUUGUAGAUCUUAUUGAGAUACAUGUGUGUGUCAAUUUUUGUGUCAAUAUGACAAAGCGUACAGCAGUCAUGUGAAUUUCCACCUUAGGGGGCGCUAUGGAGCCAUUUUGCAUUUUAUUGUUUGGGCGACUUCAGAAUAUCGAAUUUUUCACCAGGCCCGGUCGUCCUGCCAAAUUUCAUGAGUUUUCGCCAGUGGGAAGUGGGCCAUUUUCCAGUUCAAAGGGGAGGAAAAAGAAACUAGGACCCCGUUGGGGCACUGGCGGGCCCGAGCCGUGUCGCGUCCCCCCCCCAACGUGCUGCCUCCCCGUCCCAUUUGUGUCCUCUGGCCAUCGCCCUCUCUGGUAACGCCCAUCACUGCAAAGACCCUUUUCCUUCAUUGGCGUUUGCUGUUCUUCUUGCCAGUGCGUGUUGCUUUCACUUACACUUGCCACAGCCAGCCUCGUGAGUGCCUAGCCUAUUGGAUAUCACUGUCACCUACACAGGACAGUCAUUACCUUUCUAUUAAUACUUUGUGUUUUAAUUUCACAUUAAUUUCCAUAUUGUAUAAACGACUGGAAAAAACUUGAGCCCCUGCCCCUGUAUAAUCAUGUGCAUGUCUCUGUUCUAGCUCCAAGGUGAAUCUUCACUGCUCAUGUUCUCCUCAGAAGCACUCACCUCACUCCCCUCAGGUUACUGUACACAUGCACCAACUGCCUGCUUCAGGUUUGGAUGGAGCUUCAUGGUUGUCUUUUGGAGAAAUGACCAGUCAAGUUGUGUUUGAAAUUUGAUUUUUUUCAGGGGCAAAAGGAGCCUCUGCAUUCUUGUCAAAUAUGUAAAUAGCAUGUUUUUGCAGGUGCUAAAAACCAGACUCUGAGUGUGUGUGUGUGUGUGCGUGUGUGUGUGUCUGUGUGUGCGUUCAAGUCACAUGACAUAUUUAACCGGAUGUAGCUGCAAGACGGAGCCUCGUUGACUCUCCGUUUCAACUUAUCUCAAAAGUGAGGACCUCAACCUAUAUACCAGUUUUUAAAUUGUGAUGAUAGGCCAAAUAAAACCAGAGUUAUGAUAAAUUAUGUCCGCGAUACUUUUUUUCUGCUUAUUUUGAUCACGUUCGGCGCUCGAUCGCGCUGUAUGAGACAGGAAAACAUAGCAUGCAGACAUUAGCGACAGCUCUUACAGGCGGAAAAGGCUUGCCAAAAGAAAAAAAAAACACACCACAACAUCUCUCCUAUUGGUGGAAAACUUCACCACAACAACCAAUCCAAAAUUAUAUGGUGACUGAUUGACAAGGGGCGGGCGCUUACGUUCUUCCUGCAACAUGAGAAGCGAGGGAGGGACUCUCAGCAGGGAUGCAGUCUGGGACACGUAGUUGCAAACCUAGCGACUUUGUUGUUAGAUUCAAUGACUUUUCAGACCCCCUAACGCAAAUGUGGUGCCGGUGGAACGAAAGCCUUCGGAGGAGUUAGCGAAAUUCCAAUGUGUGCGGAUCGGCAAAAAAUGCGCAAUAACCCUUUAACCGUACAUUUGACAGAUACGCCCGCACUGACUUUUUUGUAGAUCUUAUUGAGAUACAUAUGUGUGUCAAUUUUUGUGUCAAUAUGACAAAGCGUACAGGCGUGACAGUCAAUAGUGUGAAUUUCCACCUUAGGGGGUGCUAUGGAGCCAUUUUGCAUUUUAUUGUUUGGGCGACCUCAGAAUAUCGAAUUUUUCACCAGGCCCGGUCGUCCUGCCAAAUUUCAUGAGUUUUCGCCAGUGGGAAGUGGGCCAUUUUCCAGUUCAAAGGGGAGGAAAAAGAAGAAAGAAAGAAACAACUAGGGCCCCGUUGGGGCACUGGCGGGCCCGCGCCGUGUCGCACCCCCCCCCCCCCCCCCCAACGCGCUGCCUCCCCGUCCCAUUCGUGUCCUCUGGCCAUCGCCCUCUCUGGUAACGCCCAUCACUGCAAAGACCCUUUUCCUUCAUCGGCGUUUGCUGUUCUUCCUGCCAGUGCGUGUUGCUUUCACUUACACUUGCCACAGCCAGCCUCGUGAGUGCCUAGCCUAUUGGAUAUCACUGUCACCUACACAGGACAGUCAUUACCUUUCUAUUAAUACUUUGUUUUUAAUUUCACAUUAAUUUCCAUAUUGUAUAAACAACUGGAAAAAACUUGAGCCCCUGCCCCUGUAUUAUCAUGUGCACGUCCCUGUUCUAGCUCCAAGGUGAAUCUUCACGGCUCAUGUUCUCCUCAGAAGCAGUCACCUCACUCCCCUCAGGUUACUGUACACAUGCACCAACUGCCUGCUUCAGGUUUGGAUGGAGCUUCAUGGUUGUCUUUUGGAGAAAUGAGCAGUCAAGUUGUGUUUGAAAUUUGAUUUUUUUCAGGGGCAAAAGGAAGCCUCUGCAUUCUUGUCAAAUAUGUAAAUAGCAUGUUUUUGCAGGUGCUAAAAAACAGACUCUGAGUGUGUGUGUGUGUGUGUGUGUGUGUGUGUGUGUGUGUGUGUGUGCGUGUGUGUGUGUAUGUCUGUGUGUGUGUGUGUGUGUGUGUGUGUAUCCUGCAGUACUCUGAGAAGAAUAAUAAGCAUAUUUCUGAGGUGAAUUUUGAAGAUUCAUCUGAGAGUUAGGUUUGAUUCGAUUCGAUUGACGCUCCCCAGCGUUCAAGUCACAUGACAUAUUUAACCGGAUGUAGCUGCAAUACGGAGCCUCGUUAACUCUCCGUUUCAACUUAUCUCAAAAGUGAGGACCUCAACCUAUAUACCAGUUUUUAAAUUGUGUUGAUAGGCCAAAUAAAACCAGAGUUAUGAUAAAUUAUGUCCGCGAUACUUUUUUUCUGCUUAUUUUGAUCACGUUCGGCGCUCGAUCGCGCUGUAUGAGACAGGAAAACAUAGCAUGCACACAUUAGCGACAGGUCUUACAGGCGGAAAAGGCUUGCCAAAAGAAAAAAAAACACACCACAACAUCUCUCCUAUUGGUGGAAAACUUCACCACAACAACCAAUCCAAAAUUAUAUGGUGACUGAUUGACAAGGGGCGGGCGCUUACGUUCUUCCUGCAACAUGAGAAGGGAGGGAGGGACUCUCAGCAGGGAUGCAGUCUGGGACACGUAGUUGCAAACCUAGCGACUUUGUUGUUAGAUUCAAUUACUUUUCAGACCCCCUAACGACUUUUUUUUGAAAGAAAGGGACUUUUAUCGACUUCUUCUGGAGUUUAGAGACUCUGACAUGAAGCAGGCUUUCCUUACUGAGGAGUUAGCAACGCUGCUAAGGGUGCAGAGCCACACAUGCGCUCCGAGCUCUGCAUGGGAGACUGAAGCUGACAGAGCUGCAGCAGUUAGCAGGUUUCACCCUCAGAGACCACCAGGGGUUCAUGUUGAGGCAUUUUCAGUUUUUGUUUUUUUUGCCAUAGACUGUCAGCACAAUCUGCAGUUACACUAACAAAAAUGCUGCAAAAAACAAAGAAUUAUGGAAAAAUUACACAUGGACUGACAUAGAGGAGGAUCUACACAAGUUUUUUACAUCAUGUUUUACAUCAUGCAUCAUUUACAUCAUGUUUUUUUGUAGUGGCAUAAAUAAAAAGUGACAUUUGUGAGACUAUACAGUGUUUUGUAAAUAAUUUUACAAAGAACGCCUGGGCCGUUGCCUGCAUUUUGAUGUAAAUAGAGGUAAAUUACUAUGUUCUUUGUUAAAAAUUUGCAUAUGUUUUGAAGUUUACAAUUUUUAUUUGAAGUUUAAGUUUUAAAAACAGUUCAUCACACAUAUUUGUGGUUUAAUUUCACAUUAAUUUCCAUAUUGUAUAAAUGACUGGAAAAAACUUGAGCCCCUGCCCCUGUAUAAUCAUGUGCACGUCCCUGUUCUAGCUCCAAGGUGAAUCUUCACUUCUCAUGUUCUCCUCAGAAAUAGUCACCUCACUCCCCUCAGGUUACUGUACACAUGCACCAACUAUCUGCUUCAGGUUUGGAUGGAGCUUCCUGGUUGUCUUUUGGAGAAAUUAACAGUCAAGUUGUGUUUGAAAUCUAAUUUUUUUCAGGGGCAAAAGGAAGCCUCUGCAUUCUUGUCAAAUAUGUAAACAGCAUGUUUUUGCAGGUGCUAAAAAACAGACUCUGAGUGUGUGUGUGUGUGUGUGUGUGUGUGUGUGUGUAUGUGUGUGUAUCCUGCAGUACUCUGUACUCCUGCAGUGGCCAAAAAGACUUUUAAGAAUGUGGAUUUUUGGGUCAUCUUUGGCGCCCCCUAGAACUGCAGUACUCUGUACUCCUGCAGUGGCCAAAAUGACUUUUAAGAAUGUGGAUUUUUGGGUCAUCUUUGGCGCCCCCUAGAACGUAAACCGUGGGGUGCAGCAUCAUGAUUUUUACAACUUUGAAUGGGCAUGGGGUGUAGAUUGCCCUGAGCAAAUUUGGUAUCGGUGGGACGAAAGUCUUAGGAGGAGAUAGCCACAUUCCAAUGUGUGCGAAUCGGCAAAAAAUGCGAAAUAGCCCUUUAACCGUACAUUAUACAGAUACGCGCUUUUUGACUUUUUCGUAGAUCUAAUUGAGAUACACAUGAUUGUCAAUUUUUGUGUCAAUAUGACAAAGCGUUCAGGCGUGACACUCAACAAUGUGUAUUUUCAUGUAAGGGGACAAGAAAAAAAGGACUUUUUUCUCCUGCCAUGGGGGGCGCUCUUUUGGGGAGUAAAAAUUCCUUCACAAAUGUGUUGAUGGCUGGACAUUGCAUCAUCCUAGAAAACUUGGAGGGCAGUGAGGACAAAAAUAAAAAGUUAUAAGACUUUUAAGAAUGUGGAUUUUGGGUUAUCUUUGGCGCCCCCUAGAACGUAAACCGUGGGGUGCAGCGUCAUGAUUUGUACAACUUUUAAUGGCCAUGGGGGGUAGAUUGGCCUGCGCAAAUGUGGUGCCGGUCGAACGAAAGCCUUCGGAGGAGUUAGCGAAAUUCCAAUGUGUGCAGAUCUGCAAAAAAUGCAAAAUAACCCAUUAACCGUACAUUUGACAGAUACGCCCGCACUGACUUUUUUGUAGA